GAUGAACGCUAGCGGGAGGCCUAACACAUGCAAGCUGAGCGGUAGAGUAUCUUCGGAGACUUGAGAGCGGCGUACGGGUGCGGAACACGUGUGCAACCUGCCUUUAUCAGGGGGAUAGCCUUUCGAAAGGAAGAUUAAUACCCCAUAAUAUAUAGAGUGGCAUCACUUUAUAUUGAAAACUGAGGUGGAUAAAGAUGGGCACGCGCAAGAUUAGAUAGUUGGUGAGGUAACGGCUCACCAAGUCGAUGAUCUUUAGGGGGCCUGAGAGGGUGAUCCCCCACACUGGUACUGAGACACGGACCAGACUCCUACGGGAGGCAGCAGUGAGGAAUAUUGGACAAUGGGUUAGCGCCUGAUCCAGCCAUCCCGCGUGAAGGACGACGGCCCUAUGGGUUGUAAGCUUCUUUUGUACAGGGAUAAACCUAUUUACGUGUAAAUAGCUGAAGGUACUGUACGAAUAAGCACCGGCUAACUCCGUGCCAGCCGCCGCGGUAACAC
rnacentral:rRNA from 1 species